CGANAACGACGCUGGCGGCAUGCCUAACACAUGCAAGUCGAACGAGACCCUUCGGGUCUAGUGGCGCACGGGUGCGUAACGCGUGGAAUCUGCCCUUGGUUCGGAAUAACAGCGAAGAAAUUGCUGCUAAUACCGGAUAAUGACGUAAGUCCAAAGAUUUAUCGCCAAGGGAUGAGCCCGCGUAGGAUUAGCUAGUUGGUGUGGUAAAGGCGCACCAAGGCGACGAUCCUUAGCUGGUCUGAGAGGAUGAUCAGCCACACUGGGACUGAGACACGGCCCAGACUCCUACGGGAGGCAGCAGUGGGAAUAUUGGACAAUGGGCGAAAGCCUGAUCCAGCAAUGCCGCGUGAGUGAUGAAGGCCUUAGGGUUGUAAAGCUCUUUUACCCGGGAUGAUAAUGACAGUACCGGGAGAAUAAGCUCCGGCUAACUCCGUG
rnacentral:rRNA from 1 species